rnacentral:misc_RNA from 1 species
CCACCGGCACGGCCGGGGGUAAACGCCCACCGCCAAGAAAACGCAGCGGACCCCCCCCAAAAAAAAAAAACCCAAAUUCCCUUACCACAACGCCACCGUGGUAAAUAAGAAUCGUGCGCAACCAUACGCACACCCCGGCUGCUUCCACGCUACAAAUUCCAUUUCCCUUUAAUAAGAAUUGAGUCCCCCCCUCCUUGUCGCCAAAAACCUCUCGCCCAGGGAACCCUAAGCCCUCUAUCGCUUUCCGUGCCCCAAACCCAAACCGCAGAAGCGAAACCCGAGAACAGAACUAUCACCAGCUUCCGGCACGGCAAGCCACAUUCAUAGCAAAGCAACACAUCCACCUAGGGCGCCGAAAAGGUAAACUAAGCACCCCCCCCACAGCAAAACAUCCCCCCCGCACGACAUCUUGGCUUUAAACCUUUUUCACCCAGCACGAAAAUCAACUACCCCAAAGCCCUUUUCCCCAUGCCAGCCCGCCGCCCUUUCCUUUCUCCAAAACACCCGCAACAACAAGACAAACAAACACCCCUAUCCACCCCCCAAUUAUACACCCAUACCUUUUCCUCCUCACCACCGCCGCGCCUGUGACCAAAACAUUUCGGCCAGAAACGCACUAAAAACGCUUUUCAG